CAGCAGCCGCGGUAAUUCGGAGGGUGCGAGCGUUGUCCGGAAUCACUGGGCGUAAAGGGCGCGUAGGCGGCUUCUUAAGCGUGCGGUGAAAGCUCGGGGCUCAACUCCGAGUCGGCCGUGCGAACUGGGAAGCUGGAGCACAGUAGAGGCGGGUGGAAUUCCGGGUGUAGCGGUGGAAUGCGUAGAGAUCCGGAAGAACACCGGUGGCGAAGGCGGCCCGCUGGGCUGUGGCUGACGCUGAGGCGCGACAGCGUGGGGAGCAAACAGGAUUAGAUACCCUGGUAGUCCACGCCGUAAACGAUGGGCACUAGGUGCUUGGGGGAGCGACCCCCUGAGUGCCGGCGCUAACGCAUUAAGUGCCCCGCCUGGGGAGUACGGCCGCAAGGCUGAAACUCAAAGGAAUUG
rnacentral:rRNA from 1 species